rnacentral:rRNA from 1 species
GACGAACGCUGGCGGCGUGCUUAACACAUGCAAGUCGAACGAAGUGGCGAACGGGUGAGUAAUACGUGAGUAACCUGCCCUCCUUUUUGGGAUAAGCCUUGGAAACGGGGUCUAAUACCGAAUAAAGGGGGAUGGGCUCGCGGCCUAUCAGCUUGUUGGUGGGGUGUUGGCCUACCAAGGCGGUGACGGGUAGCCGGCCUGAGAGGGUGACCGGCAACAUUGGGACUGAGAUGCGGCCCAUGCUCCUACGGGCGGAAGCAGGGGGGGAUAUUGCACAAUGGGCGGAAGCCAGAUGCAUGGACGCCGCGUGGGUGAUGAAGGCUUUCGGGUUGUAAACCGCUUUCAGCCAUGACGCGGUAGUGGCAGAAGAAGCACCGGCUAACUACGUGCCAGCAGCCGCGGUAAUUC